rnacentral:tmRNA from 1 species
GGGGGCGAAAGGGCUCGACGGGAGUUAUGAGGCUCAGGUGGCAUGUCGUGGCUCCAUCACCACGUUAAAAGGUGGAACAAACACAAACGCCAACAACGAACUGGCACUCGCUGCUUAAUUAAAGCAGCUCGCUACUCCGGGAUCGCCUGUGUUUUGGGGAUAGCGACGGACAGCAGGCUGGCCUCGGGUCUUUCUCCUGAACCUGAGGUAAGAUAAAGGGAGAUGGGAUGGUGAAAAGCCCGCCUGCCGGCGGUUAAUCAUCCGAGAUUUAAAGGGCAGGAUAAACAUGUAGAAGCGUGAGAGUAGUGCUUUCGGACGCGGGUUCAAUUCCCGCCGCCUCCACCA